UAUAUAGAAAAAUACUUUUAAAACCCACAACAUUUAAAAAAUAAAUUUGAGUAAGCGUUCAAUCAAUAUUGGAGAAUGAAAUAUUGAUCACAGCAGCGAUUUCUUUUGCCCUUUUAUUUCAAAAAUUUCAAUGUCGGAUAAAAUCAAUACUCUGCCAUGCAAUAUAUAAAAAUCAUCAAUUAGUUAAAAAAACUCAACUAUUGAGAUUCUUAAUAUUACCCUUAUAAAAAUCUCGAACAAUUGAUUAAGCGUAAUGGUUGUUAAUGAAUAGACUCGGUCGAUAACAAAACUCAACGAAAUUAAAUCGAGAAUCGAUUUGUUGUGUAAGCUUCGUGUUGAUUAAUAAAUCUUACAGAAUCUUGUCCCCUAAAAUCUUAUUGGCAUGCAAUGUGUUACUGAAAUUAAUUAAGUUCCCAACAAACGCAUGAUACGUGUUAAAGUAUAAAAAUAAAAUUAGGAGUCAUCAAUCGAGCGAAUCACGGAUUCAAGGUCUAUCAUUUAAAUGUGAAAUUGGUUAUAUAAUUGGAUUAUUGGGUUUAAUUAUCGUGAUUUAAUUUGUUUUUGUACCCAAAUGGUUGAAAUUGAUGUCAUGCAGUCUAGGUAAAGUUUCUAGAGAAUUUGACCAAGUGACUACUAUGUUACACCGUACAUGGUGAUGCGUGUUAAAAAAAAAAUAAUAAUAAUCGAACAGCUUCGUUGGAAAACUAUGUAUCAUCCACUUAAUUAAUGGGAAAAAGAAAAUAAAUGCAAGUCAAGAGAACUUGUGAUAUUAUUUAAUACUUUACAGAUGAUGCGUGUCCGUGGAACAAGUCUUAAGAUUGAGACAUUGAGUGUACGAAUUAAUCUCCGUCCUUUUUUUUAAUUUAUUGAAAAAAUAAUAAUGUCGAUUCUCCCUAGCUACCAUAAAAAAAAAAAAAAAAUACAAUAUAACCACCAAAAAUGUUAUAGAAUAGAUUAUAUGUUAAGUUAUAUAGAUAUAUUAAAUUCUAGAUUGCAAUCCCUUUCUUAUA
rnacentral:lncRNA from 1 species